AAUAGAUACCCGGGUAGUCCACGCCGUAAACGAUGGGUACUAGGUGUGGGAGGUGUCGACUCCUCCCGUGCCGUCGCUAACGCACUAAGUACCCCGCCUGGGGAGUACGGCCGCAAGGCUAAAACUCAAAGGAAUUGACGGGGGCCCGCACAAGCAGCGGAGCAUGUGGUUUAAUUCGACGCAACGCGAAGAACCUUACCUGGGCUUGACAUGUUGGUGACCGCCGUGGAAACACGGUUUUCCUUCGGGACACCAUCACAGGUGGUGCAUGGCUGUCGUCAGCUCGUGCCGUGAGAUGUUGGGUUAAGUCCCGCAACGAGCGCAACCCCCGUUCCAUGUUGCCAGCAUUUAGUUGGGGACUCAUGGGAGACUGCCGGUGACAAACCGGAGGAAGGUGGGGAUGACGUCAAGUCAUCAUGCCCCUUAUGUCCAGGGCUACACACGUGCUACAUUGGCGCAUACAAAGGGCAGCAAUACCGCGAGGUGGAGCAAAUCCCGAUAAAGUGCGCCUCGGUUCGGAUUGGAGGCUGAAACUCGCCUCC
rnacentral:rRNA from 1 species